rnacentral:rRNA from 3 species
GGGUUGUGAGGUUAAGCGACUAAGCGUACACGGUGGAUGCCCUGGCAGUCAGAGGCGAUGAAGGACGUGCUAAUCUGCGAUAAGCGCCGGUAAGGUGAUAUGAACCGUUAUAACCGGCGAUUUCCGAAUGGGGAAACCCAGUGUGAUUCGUCACACUAUCAUUAACUGAAUCCAUAGGUUAAUGAGGCGAACCGGGGGAACUGAAACAUCUAAGUACCCCGAGGAAAAGAAAUCAACCGAGAUUCCCCCAGUAGCGGCGAGCGAACGGGGAGGAGCCCAGAGCCUGAAUCAGCAUGUGUGUUAGUGGAAGCGUCUGGAAAGGUGCGCGAUACAGGGUGACAGCCCCGUACACAAAAGCGCAUGUGCUGUGAGCUCGAUGAGUAGGGCGGGACACGUGGUAUCCUGUCUGAAUAUGGGGGGACCAUCCUCCAAGGCUAAAUACUCCUGACUGACCGAUAGUGAACCAGUACCGUGAGGGAAAGGCGAAAAGAACCCCGGCGAGGGGAGUGAAAAAGAACCUGAAACCGUGUACGUACAAGCAGUGGGAGCACCCUUCGGGGUGUGACUGCGUACCUUUUGUAUAAUGGGUCAGCGACUUAUAUUCUGUAGCAAGGUUAACCGUAUAGGGGAGCCGUAGGGAAACCGAGUCUUAAC